GACGAACGCUGGCGGCGUGCUUCAUACAUGCAAGUCGAACGAGAAGCUGACUUCGGUCAGUGGAAAGUGGCGGACGGGUGAGUAAUAUGUAGGAAAUCUGCCUUUAGGAGGGGGACAACAGAGGGAAACUUCUGCUAAUACCCCAUAUGAGCGUAGCUGAAAUGCUAUUCUUGAAAACUCCGGUGCCUAAAGAUGAGCCUGCAUCUGAUUAGCUAGUUGGUAGUGUAAUGGACUACCAAGGCGACGAUCAGUAGCUGGUUUGAGAGGAUGAUCAGCCACAAUGGGACGUGGACACGGAACAGACACCUGCGGGAGGCAGCAGUAGGGAAUUUUGAGCAAUGGGCGAAAGCCUGACGAAGCAACGCGGCGGGAACGAGUAAGCCCUUCGGGGUGAAAAGUUCUGUCAGAGGGGACGAAACUUGACGGUACCCAAAGAGGAAGCACCGGCUAACUCCGUG
rnacentral:rRNA from 1 species